rnacentral:pre_miRNA from 1 species
AAAAUUCACACCUGCGCUGAAGGCUCGUGGGUCUGCAUGUCCGUUUGCAAUUUUGUAGCACCAUGAGAUUCAGCUCUGGUGUGGAUUAA